rnacentral:lncRNA from 1 species
AAGAGAACUCAAUUUUUUUUCUUUGGUUUUUUUUUUUUUUUUUUUUUGGAGGGCUAUGGAAGUUCCCAGACUAGAGAUCAAAUCCAAACCACAUAUGCAACCUACACCACAGCCCAUGGCAACAGCAGAAUGUUAACCCACUGAGCCGGGCCAGGGAUUGAACCCACAUCCUCAUGACUAAUCAGGUUUGUUACUGCUGAGACACGACAAGAACUUUUUCCUUUUUAAAUUUUUUGGCCACUUUGCAGCGCAUGAAGCUCCCGGGCCAUGGAUCAGAUCUGAGACACAGCUGAAGCUGACCUACGCUGAAGCUUCGGUAAUGCUGGAUCCUUUAGCCCUCUCUGAGGGGCAGGGAGUUGAACCUGUGUCCUGGUGCUACAGACACUUAAAUCUCAUUGCACUGCAGCAGGAACUCCUUUGCUAAUUUUUUUUUGGUCUUUUUAGGGCCAUACCAGAGGCAUAUGGAAGUUCCCAAGAUAGGGGUCAAAUUGGAGCUGCAGCUGCCACCCUAUGCCACAGCCACAGCAAAAUGAUGGGAUCCAAGCCAUGUCUGUGACCUACACCACAGCUCAUAGCAAUGCCAGAUCCUUAACCCACUGAGCAAGGCCAGGGAUCAAACCUGAGUCCUCACGGAUCCUAGUCGGGUUCGUUAACCAGAGCCACGAAGGAACUCCCAGGCCUUGAAGUUUCUAAGGCCUGGCUCUGAAAUACUACUCAGCAUCACGUGCAAAGAAUAUAGCUGCAAAGUGCCUUUUUUGCUGCAGAAAUGGAGCAUGGCCUGAACGCGCAUCUUGUUGAACACGAAUGAAACGGAAGCAAAGAGUACACCCUGUGGGGAACGCAUCAGGCCAUCCUGUAUUUAACUUUCUUCUGGAAAACGUUCCAGGUGUUAUUAACCUUUGAUGCUUCUUGAAACAACUGCUUUCCCAUCCACACUGGUGUAACGGUCACAGCAACCCUUGAAGCGGGCAUCAAUUUUCAUGUUGCCCACUCAGGAAGUGAGGCUCAGAGACCCAACGCACAGGCCUUGCUCCGCCCAACUCUUUCAUGGCAGUGCGAGGCCUGGAAGCCUUGCCUUGUCAGGCUUUGAUGAUGGCAGUGAUACAGACAGUAACGGCAAUGACUAACACCUACGAACACCUGCUACAUACCAAAGACGGUUCCGUGAAAGAAAUCCCCUCAUGAGAGCCCAGUGAGGUGCCUGCUGAGACCAGCUCUGUCGCACACAGAUGCAUCAGACUCUUAAGCCCCCAAAUAUUUACACUCCAAAAGGCAAAGAGGUUUACAUUUUUAAAAACCUUUUGCAUUCUGAGAUGGGCCAUAAAUAUAGAUGCUUCCAAAUAUCCUUGAAGCAGAGUUCCUGUCAUGGCUCAGUGGUUAAUGAACCUGACUAGGAACCAUGAGGUUGCAAUUCGAUCCCUGGCCUGGUUCAGUGGGUUGGGGAUCCAGUGUUGCUGCGAGCUGUGGUGUAGGGUGCAGAUGCAGCUCAGAUCCUGCGUGGCUGUGGCUGUGGUAUAGGCUGGCGGCGACAGCUCCGACUGGACCCCUAGCUUGCGAACCUCCACACGCUGUGGGUGUGGCCCUAGAAAAAACAAAAAAGCAGAAAGAAUCAAACAAACAAAUAUCCUUGAAGGGAGUUCCUGUCCUGGCUCAGGGGAAACAAAUUUGACUAGUAUCCAUGAGGACGCAGGUUUGAGGCCCUAAAAAGACAAAAAAAAAAAAGUAUAAAUUAAAAAUAAAAAUAGGAGUUAUUGAAAAGAUAACUAUAAACUAGAAAGAACUACAAAAAGCCUUGAAGUACAAACUUCAAAAGCUUCGCAUCUAUAGAUAAACCAUGUCUUGUUUUUUAUUAAUAAAAGAGGAAUUCCUGGGAGUUUAUAUUGUGCCUCAGCAGUAAUGAACCUGCCUAGUAUCUAUAUGUGGACCUGCUCAGGAUGGAACCCCCAACCUCAUGGUUUCUAGUUGGAUUUGUUAACCACUGAGCCACGACGGGAACUCUUUUUUUUUGAGACUUUUUCUUUGACAGCACCAAUAACAUCAUCGUGUUCCAGAAACUGGACACAGAAAAGUUUGGUGACCUGCCUGAGGCUGCCCGGCUGGGAUAAGAAACCAGGCUUGCCUAAGCCCACUUUGACUCUCUCUGCCAUGUUCCGGCCACUGCUUGACUGCUUAGCCCCUGCUCUGCUAAGGAAGUAGUUUCUUCCACAUAAUUGACCAACCCCUAUUUUCUUUUCUAGCUUUGUCCUAGCCACUGGUAAGAUGAAAAAUACAGUCACUGCCCAUGCAAGUUUGGAUGGGGACAUCAGAUAGUGACAUAGGCCCUGGAGGGAUGCACAGGGGCUCAGAAGUCCAGAGGACGGCCCCUCACCCCGCCUUAGAGGUCAGAGAAGGCUUCCCAGAGGUGGUGAUUAGAGCCGAACCUCGCAAAACAAAAAACAAGAGUUAUCCAGAUAGGGAAAGAGAGGGUGGGAAGGAGUGCCCGUUACAGCUGUCCUGGUCAUCUACUGCUGUGUCACAAGUCCUCAUGGUCAAGGGGCUGACGAGCUUGGUCUCUUUCAGGAUCUCUUAUGGUUUCAGGGGGAAGGCUGGCUCUGGAUUCAUCCUGGAAAUACCGAUUGCUGACACUGGCUGCAGCAUAUGGAAGUUCCCAGGCUACGGGGCAAAUUGGAGCUUUAGCUGCUGCCCUACACCAGAGCCACAGCAACGCAGGAUCCGAGCCGCAUCUGCAACCUACACCACAGCUCAGGGCGACGCCAGAUCCUUAACCCACUGAGCGAGGCCAGGGAUUGAACCUGCAACUGCUCCUUUAACCACAAGAUUACAUUACUCAUCAAAAAAGUAUGUGCUUCGGCCUGAAGAUGAUAGGGAGCAAUGUAUUAGAAAAUAAGAUUUCGGGAGUGCCCUGGUGGCUCAGUAGGUUAAAGAUCCUGUGUUAUCACUGCUGUGGCGUGGGUCACUGCUGUGGUGUGGGUCACGGGCCAGGUUCCAUCCCUGGCCAGGGAAUUUCCACAUGCUGCAGGAGCAGCCAGAAACAAAAAACAAAAACAAACUAAAAAAAAAAAAAGGAGAUUCGAUUAUAACAAAAGCAGAGAAUUUACACUAAAACUUGGUGGCGUGAUUUUGGAGCUCAUGGGGAAAUACGGACUCAAGGAUGAAGUGUUACCACCUUCACUUUUUUGGAGGUGUAUUGUAACGCAGUGAAGUGCACUAAUCUUAAGGGUAGAAACGUGAAGAAUUUUUACGAAUGCAGACACCCACUUAACUACCCCCAGAUGAAGACGUAGGCGAAUCCCCAUCCCCGCCCACAGUGCCCCCUGCCCCAUCACCACACCCGCCCAGGGAACCACUGCCUCGGCCUCCGUCGCCUCCAGCACCUGUUCCUGGACUCCACGGAGGGGCACGGUCUCUGUGAAAGAUCCUCCUCACCCGGUCAGCCGCACACCCACGACACUGCGUUCCCGACGCUUGGCUGUCAGUCCACUACACGAAGAAGCCCCAGUUGGCCUGCCGGUGAACGGCUCGUCUUCCGGGGGUUCUGGCGACUCCGACUCGAGCGGCUCGGCACGUUCUGACACUCCUGCUGGUGGGCCACACCUUCAGCGCUCGACUCGGCGGUUCUUCCGCGGGGAGCGCGGGCGCUAUAGCCGCACCGCAGCGCAGGACCUCCCGCCGCCCUCCGGGCCCCGAGUCCGCGACUCGCGGACGAGGCUUCCAGGGAGUCUCAGGCCGGGGGC